rnacentral:rRNA from 1 species
GUGCCAGCAGCCGCGGUAAUACGGAGGGUGCAAGCGUUAAUCGGAAUUACUGGGCGUAAAGGGUGCGUAGGUGGUACGGUAAGUUAUCUGUGAAAUUCCUGGGCUUAACCUGGGGUGGUCAGAUAAAACUGCUGAACUCGAGUAUGGGAGAGGGUAGUGGAAUUUCCGGUGUAGCGGUGAAAUGCGUAGAGAUCGGAAGGAACACCAGAGGCGAAAGCGGGCAACUGGACGGGUACUGACACUGAGGCACGAAAGCGUGGGGAGCAAACAGGAUUAGAAACCCGAGUAGUCC